rnacentral:rRNA from 1 species
GAUGAACGCUAGCUACAGGCUUAACACAUGCAAGUCGAGGGGAAACGAUGAGAGAGCUUGCUCUCUUAGUCGUCGACCGGCGCACGGGUGAGUAACGCGUAUCCAACCUGCCUCUGACCAAGGUAUAACCCGUCGAAAGUCGGACUAAUACCUUAUGCAGUCGUCGGAAGUCAUCUGAUGACGACGAAAGAUUUCAUCGGUGAGAGAUGGGGAUGCGUCUGAUUAGCUUGUUGGCGGGGUAACGGCCCACCAAGGCGACGAUCAGUAGGGGUUCUGAGAGGAAGGUCCCCCACAUUGGAACUGAGACACGGUCCAAACUCCUACGGGAGGCAGCAGUGAGGAAUAUUGAUCAAUGGGCGUAAGCCUGAACCAGCCAAGUAGCGUGCAGGAUGACGGCCCUAUGGGUUGUAAACUGCUUUUAUGCGGGGAUAAAGUGAGGGACGUGUCCUUCAUUGCAGGUACCGCAUGAAUAAGGACCGGCUAAUUCCGUG